GAGCGAGGCGUCGCGUACGGGGCUCGUCCGAGACCACACCUGAGGCCGGAUGCAGGAGCCCGCGCUGGUCGAGCCCGGGGAGGAGCGGAGAUCGAUG
rnacentral:ncRNA from 1 species